UACGAAGGGGGCUAGCGUUGCUCGGAAUCACUGGGCGUAAAGGGUGCGUAGGCGGGUCUUUAAGUCGGGGGUGAAAUCCUGGAGCUCAACUCCAGAACUGCCUUUGAUACUGAAGAUCUUGAGUUCGGGAGAGGUGAGUGGAACUGCGAGUGUAGAGGUGAAAUUCGUAGAUAUUCGCAAGAACACCAGUGGCGAAGGCGGCUCACUGGCCCGGUACUGACGCUGAGGUGCGAAAGCGUGGGGAGCAAACAGG
rnacentral:rRNA from 1 species